UACAUGCAAAGAUUAUGGGGAAGAAAAAGAAUAAAAAUUGCCAGACGGAACCUCAUGUACUUAGUCAGCAAUGAAGUCGAACGUGUCAUGUGCUUUUGAUGACAGCUGUCCUCUAGAAGACAGA
rnacentral:lncRNA from 1 species